rnacentral:rRNA from 1 species
CGUCCUACGGGAGGCAGCAGUAGGGAAUCUUCCACAAUGGACGAAAGUCUGAUGGAGCAACGCCGCGUGAGUGAAGAAGGGUUUCGGCUCGUAAAGCUCUGUUGGUAGUGAAGAAAGAUAGAGGUAGUAACUGGCCUUUAUUUGACGGUAAUUACUUAGAAAGUCACGGCUAACUACGUGCCAGCAGCCGCGGUAAUACGUAGGUGGCAAGCGUUUUCCGGAUUUUUUGGGCGUAAAGCGAGUGCAGGCGGUUCAAUUAGGCUGAU